GUUUAUAAUUUUAUUUUCAGAGAUU
rnacentral:sRNA from 1 species